rnacentral:misc_RNA from 1 species
GAUGAAGAACGCAGCGAAAUGCGAUAAGUAAUGUGAAUUGCAGAAUUCAGUGAAUCAUCGAAUCUUUGAACGCACAUUGCGCCCGCCAGUAUUCUGGCGGCAUGCCUGUUCGAGCGUCAUUACAACCCUCAGGCCCCCGGGCCUGGCGUUGGGGAUCGGCGGAGCCCCCCGUGGGCACACGCCGUCCCCCAAAUACAGUGGCGGUCCCGCCGCAGCUUCCAUCGCGUAGUAGCUAACACCUCGCGACUGGAGAGCGGCGCGGCCACGCCGUAAAACACCCAACUCUUCUGAAGUUGACCUCGAAUCAGGUAGGAAUACCCGCUGAACUUAAGCAUAUCAAUAAGCGGAGGA